GUUAGCUAUUACCUUAUCUGUACGUUCCGCAUUUGACAGGCGCACCAACAAACGGUGUAUUUAGGAUUUUGCUAUAUACACGGGUCAUAAUCAAAGGGCUGACACUACUAAAUUCAAUCAUUGUCAAAUUGUUCCCUAUUGUAGCUUUAUUCAGCAAUCAGCAAGACUUUCUAAGAUAACUUAUAUAGGACAAUGCUGUUGAUUAAAAAAUACCCCAUUCCUGGAAAGCCUGGACCUUUUGUUUUCCAAAUAAUUAAUAUUUCCAAUAAUGGAUAAGUUCCAGGUCGACGGGUUCAAACAGAAAGAUUUGAAAGCAGAGAAAACUGUGUAUCUUAUAAUCGACAUGACUUUUUCAGAUGACAAUACCAAUUACAAAUAAGGCUUAGGCAUAGUUAUAUACUUUAAUUCAGUCACGGAC
rnacentral:lncRNA from 1 species